ACUUAUGGCCAUACCACUCUGAACAUGUCUGAUCUUGGAAGCUAAGCAGGGUCGGGCCUGGUUAGUACUUGAAUGGGAGACCGCCUGGGAAUACCAGGUGCUGUAAGCU
rnacentral:rRNA from 1 species